AGCAGCCGCGGUAAUUCCAGCUCCAAUAGCGUAUAUUAAAGUUGUUGCAGUUAAAAGCUCGUAGUUGAAUUUUGGGUCUGGCCGGGCGGUCCGCCCUCUGGGUGAGCACUGUUCCGACGUCGGGCCUAUCCUUCUGGUGAGUCGGCAUGUCCUUUAUUGGGUGUGUCGGGGAACCAGGACCAUUACCUUGAAAAAUUAGAGUGUUCAAAGCAGGCUAACGCCUGAAUACAUUAGCAUGGAAUAAUAGAAUAGGACGUGUGGUUCUAUUUUGUUGGUUUCUAGGACCGCCGUAAUGAUUAAUAGGGAUAGUUGGGGGCAUUAGUAUUCAAUUGUCAGAGGUGAAAUUCUUGGAUUUAUUGAAGACUAACUACUGCGAAAGCAUUUGCCAAGGAUGUUUUCAUUAAUCAAGAACGAAAGUUAGGGGAUCGAAAACGAUCAGAUACCGUCGUAGUCUUAACCAUAAACUAUGCCGACUAGGGAUCGGAUGAUGUUAAUUUUUUAAUGACUCAUUCGGCGCCUUACGGGAAACCAAAGUGUUU
rnacentral:rRNA from 1 species